rnacentral:rRNA from 1 species
UUCCGGUUGAUCCUGCCGGACCUUACUGCUAUCGGGAUAGGACUAAAACAUGCAAGUUGAGCGUUUCGAACUAUGGCGAGACGCAGCAUACGGCUCAGUAACACGUGGCUAACCUACCCUUAGGACAGGGAUAAACCCGGGAAACUGGGGUUAAUACCUGAUAGGUGAGGAGUCCUGGAAUGGCUCUUCACUUAAAGAUGUUGGAACCAUGUUUUCUAAUGUCACCUAAGGAUGGGGCCGCGGCCGAUCAGGUUGUUGGUGUGGUAACGGCUCACCAAGCCUUUGACCGGUACGGGCUGUGAGAGCAGAAGCCCGGAGAUGGGCACUGAGACAAGGGCCCAGGCCCUAUGGGGCGCAGCAGUUGCGAAACCUCCGCAAUGCGCGAAAGCGUGACGGGGUUACCCCGAGUGCCGUCCGCUGAGGAUGGCUUUUCUUUGGUGUAAUGAGCCAAAGGAAUAAGGGGAGGGCAAGACUGGUGUCAGCCGCCGCGGUAAUACCAGCUCCCCGAGUGGUAGGGACAAUUAUUGGGCUUAAAGCGUUCGUAGCUGGUUUGGCAAGUCUUCCGUUAAAUCCAACGACUUAAUCGUUGGGCCGCGGAAGAUACUGUCAGGCUAGGAGGCGGGAGAGGCCGAUGGUAUUCUUGGGGUAGGGGUGAAAUCCUAUAAUCCCAGGAGGACCACCAGUGGCGAAGGCGAUCGGCUAGAACGCGCUCGACAGUGAGGGACGAAAGCUGGGGGAGCGAACCGGAUUAGAUACCCGGGUAGUCCCAGCUGUAAACGAUGCGGGCUAGGUGUUGGAGC